GCAAGUCGAACGAGAACGGACUUUAGUUUACUAAAGUUGUCAGCUAAGUGGCGCACGGGUGAGUAAUAUAUAGUUAAUUUGCCGGAAAGUUGGGGAUAAUUGUUGGAAACGACUUGUAAUACCCUAUAUGCCUCUAUCACAUAAGUGAGCGAGGGAAAGAUUUAUCGCUUUCCGAUAAGACUGUACGGUAUCAGAUAGUUGGUGAGGUAAUGGCUCACCAAGUCUAUGACGCCUAACUGGUUUGAGAGGAUGAUC
rnacentral:rRNA from 1 species